rnacentral:sRNA from 2 species
CCCCCUCCUUUCAAAGCUCUUCCUCCUCUCUCUCAUUCUUUCACCUUUUCUACCCGCCUUGCCAUCGUUGUACAUGCCAGCAUUCAAAUUACCCUACACAAGAUCGGAUCAAUCAUCUGAAGGAGCUGCUCAAAGGAUGGGUGGCAAAACAGCAAGCAAACAUCACAAAACUUGUUGAGCUCUAAGAAAGUGGAGGACUCAAGGCACCAAGCUUUUGGCAGUGCGGAAGUUACCGAUUAUGAGCCUACUAUUGAAGAAAUAUGAGAAAGAGUCUCAUUACUAUUAUUAAGCUGAGAGAAUGAGAAAUUCAAAAGUGUGUUGAAAGAUGAAUAGAUGAUGACUUUUCAUGAAAAUCAUUUAGAAUAUUCUUCAAAAAGAAUGAUGCAUUACUUAUGAUGACUAUUUAUGAUAUUGAUUUUUCAUUUCAUAAAAAGAAGCCUGGGCA